AAAUUGGAUUUUUUAAAAUCCACAUAUAUGCUCUUUAUAAGAAAU
rfam:Equus caballus chromosome 12, whole genome shotgun sequence.